GAUGAACGCUGGCGGCGUGCCUAAUACAUGCAAGUCGAGCGAACGGACGAGAAGCUUGCUUUUCUGAUGUUAGCGGCGGACGGGUGAGUAACACGUGGAUAACCUACCUAUAAGACUGGGAUAACUUCGGGAAACCGGAGCUAAUACCGGAUAAUAUUUUGAACCGCAUGGUUCAAAAGUGAAAGACGGUCUUGCUGUCACUUAUAGAUGGAUCCGCGCUGCAUUAGCUAGUUGGUAAGGUAACGGCUUACCAAGGCAACGAUGCAUAGCCGACCUGAGAGGGUGAUCGGCCACACUGGAACUGAGACACGGUCCAGACUCCGACGGGAGGCAGCAGUAGGGAAUCUUCCGCAAUGGGCGAAAGCCUGACGGAGCAACGCCGCGUGAGUGAUGAAGGUCUUCGGAUCGUAAAACUCUGUUAUUAGGGGAGAACAUAUGUGUAAGUAACUGUGCACAUCUUGACGGUACCUAAUCAGAAAGCCACGGCUAACUACGUG
rnacentral:rRNA from 1 species